AGCCGGUAAAAAGAUGGCCAUAAAACAGUGACCGCUGAUUCGCGUCGAGUUCUUUCUUGCAUAACGUAGAGAAAUGUCUGGGACUUAGCCGAGGGCAACUGGAGAAGGGUUGUUGAUGGCAAAACAGGUUGGAGACUACAUGAGACUUUGACAGAUGGCGGGAAACCCUUCUCAACUGGUACGAAGCCGGUAAAUAGAUGGCCAUAAAACAGUGACCGCUGAUUCGCGUCGAGUUCUUUCUUGCAUAACGUAUGACCCCCCUUUUUUAUUGUUUAAAUCAU